AGCAGUAGCCGCGGGAAUACAGAGGGUGCAAGCGUUAAUCGGAAUUACUGGGCGUAAAGCGCGCGUAGGUGGUUUGUUAAGUUGGAUGUGAAAGCCCCGGGCUCAACCUGGGAACUGCAUCCAAAACUGGCAAGCUAGAGUACGGUAGAGGGUGGUGGAAUUUCCUGUGUAGCGGUGAAAUGCGUAGAUAUAGGAAGGAACACCAGUGGCGAAGGCGACCACCUGGACUGAUACUGACACUGAGGUGCGAAAGCGUGGGGAGCAAACAGGAUUAGAGACCCCUGUAGUCCCUGUCUCUUAUAC
rnacentral:rRNA from 1 species